AUUAUUUUUCGCCCCAAUCCCGGGUCAAGAUGAGGGCAACCGGCUGGGCCAGCGGAAGUGUCAUAUGCGCGUGUGUUCUUAACCGGCUCGACUGGAGAAGACAUCGAUAGAUCCUCUCGAGCUCUGUCAGGUUGGAUGGGAACCACCAGUGGAGAGCCAUUUUCAUGUCUACCUAGAAGACAGAAAACAGAAGAGAGUGCUGAAUCUCUGAAAAACAGGUUUCCAGGGGCGACGGCGCCGCCAGGUGGUAUCCUGGACUGUUUGCGGGGAAGCAUCCGGAAUCAGCCUGUUUACUCUGUAAGGCCCGUUGUCUGUCCAGCAAAAACAUUCCCUCCACGGAAUGCUGAGGGACAGAAGUUUACACCCAGUGGGGCGGAUACAAAGCAUCCUGCAUCCUGGAUGCUUGCUGCUGCUAAACCUCAGCCUAGGAGACCCAACAUGGGAUUACUGGAGCUCUCAGGGCCCCCUCCUUGCCCCACAUAACCUCCCCUUCACUCUACCAGGUUCCACGUGUGGUUUGCUUUGUUGUUGUACGUUAACUUUAACAUUAAGAUUAACUUUGCACGUGUAUGAUUUGGGUUUUAAGUCCACAUUUUUCUUAAUUUGAUGCAGCCGGAUUUGAGAGAGACAGGGAAUAGGUCAGACAUUCAUGAAAAAUGGGCAAUUUAGAAUGUUAGUGCAAUGUGUAGAUUCUGCAGCUAAAUAAUUUUAUUUCAAAAUAGGGUUUUAAGUUAUAUAUGACCAACUAUGACAAGCAUCCUUUAAGAAAAAACGUUCACGCAAUAUUUACAAUUUUCUUUUUUUUCACAUGGAUUUUGUUGUUUUUAAAAUUUAAAUAUUGCAAAAGUUACUGAGAAUAAAUCGGACUACAUGGUCUUCCAGUGAUUGCUAUUAAUCUGAGAUCUUCAUUGUGCAAUUUACUUAAAUGCAGCAAAAAUUUUAUUUGUGCUAAAAUGCUUUUUGGAAAACCCGAAAACACCUCUAGACUCCUGC